GUGCAACUGAAUGUGUGUGUUUUGGGUGAUAUGAUACUGAAUGAUUGCAAUAAGAAAUUUCAGCUUUGAACUUUAAAAAAUAAAUACCUUUUUAUUGUGAAAUAAAGUAUAUAUUUGUGUUUAGUAAUUAAAUCAGUCAGUGGACAACCAAGUCAAUUAACUUUGUGUGGUGCUUAAACGACAACAGAGUGAGUGCAAAGUGUUUUUUUAAUUAAAAAAAAAUAUAUAAAAAAGAAAGAAAAAAUUGGCGUUUCAAACGAAAGCGAAAAUACACACAGUAGGUGAGUUCAAUGUUACAACAACCAACCAAACAAAUGUGAGAGAAAAGUGCAAAGCUAAAAAAGCCUCAUAAAAGCAAAACAAAAAGUAAACACACGUACAUUAUGAUAAACUGCGGCGUAUGAAUGAAGAAUAAGCUGAAAUAUUUUCUGUAUUCAAUUAUUUAAACCUCUGACAAAAAAAAAACAAUAAGAAUUUUGUUUUCGUUAUAUUUAAAC